UCUCGCGAAAGAAAAUUUAAUCUUCAGGGCCUCAAAUCAGACAAGAGUACCCGCUGAACUUAA
rnacentral:rRNA from 1 species